rnacentral:rRNA from 1 species
UGAGGAAUAUUGGACAAUGGGUGAGAGCCUGAUCCAGCCAUCCCGCGUGAAGGAUGACGGUCCUAUGGAUUGUAAACUUCUUUUGUACAGGGAUAAACCUACUCUCGUGAGGGUAGCUGAAGGUACUGUACGAAUAAGCACCGGCUAACUCCGUGCCAGCAGCCGCGGUAAUACGGAGGGUGCAAGCGUUAUCCGGAUUUAUUGGGUUUAAAGGGUCCGUAAGCGGACUUGUAAGUCAGUGGUGAAAUCUCAUAGCUUAACUAUGAAACUGCCAUUGAUACUGCAGGUCUUGAGUAAAUUUGAAGUGGCUGGAAUAAGUAGUGUAGCGGUGAAAUGCAUAGAUAUUACUUAGAACACCAAUUGCGAAGGCAGGUCACUAAGAUUUAACUGACGCUGAUGGACGAAAGCGUGGGGAGCGAACA